rnacentral:rRNA from 1 species
AUGUGGCUCAUUAUGUGGACAUUGGUACAUGGGCAAAACCGCCUAGAGGAUCAUUUAGAUGGGUAUAUUUUGAUGGGUGAUGACCUAGUAGAGUUGUAUGGAUACAUAGCAGUGUGGGAUGAUCUGGAUCUGUUGCUUAAUUAUGUCGUCAAUAUUAGCAGGGAUGAUCCCAUCAUUGUGGAGAAGGGUUCUCUCAUCAGCAUGGCUGGUGGUCCUAGGCGAGGGAUAUAUAUGAAUGACGAUGGUCUAAUUGAGUAUGACAUGAGGAUCAAGAGAGGAAGGCGAGAAGGAGAUGACCUACAGGUGAUUGACGGCGCAACAAUCUUAAGCCCUUGGGGCACAUCGAAGCGGCCGUUCACAUUUAACAUCUCUGGCGACUGUGGCAGUGCAGUCGCCAUAACUUUAGCAUAUCUUUCUAGCGCGGUUGAGGCCACAGUAGAGGUUCCCGUAUCGGAAGUGCAGAGUGGUUUCCAUAUGUCUCUCAGAUGUUUUCCCAUUGGGUAUUAUGACGAGAUCCGGCUCUUCGAUGGCGCCAUUGUCAAGUCUUGUGCCCUCAAGAGGUCUGUGGUUGCCGUAGUGAGGUGGUCUUCCAUACGUUUGAAAUUCAAGUUAUGCGCAUCGUCAUCCGGAUCCGAGUCCCAUCGUCGUUGUACCUUCAAGGCGAAGACCCACGGGCAUAACACUCGAGAGAUAAAGACUGAUUUUGCGCUGAUCUCGGUGAAGGUCACUUGGUCGACGCUUGGUGAUGCCAGGUAG